AUACGAAGGGUGCAAGCGUUAAUCGGAAUUACUGGGCGUAAAGCGCGCGUAGGUGGUUCAGUAAGUUGGAAGUGAAAUCCCCGGGCUCAACCUGGGAACUGCUUUCAAAACUGCUGAGCUAGAGUACGGUAGAGGGUGGUGGAAUUUCCUGUGUAGCGGUGAAAUGCGUAGAUAUAGGAAGGAACACCAGUGGCGAAGGCGACCACCUGGACUGAUACUGACACUGAGGUGCGAAAGCGUGGGGAGCAAACAGGAGUAGAUACCCCUGUAGUCC
rnacentral:rRNA from 1 species